rnacentral:rRNA from 1 species
UACGUAGGCAGCGAGCGUUGUUCGGAGUUACUGGGCGUAAAGAGUGCGUAGGCGGUUUUCUAAGUUUGGUGUGAAAUCUCCCGGCUUAACUGGGAGGGUGCGCCGAAAACUGGAAGGCUUGAGUAUGGGAGAGGUAAGCGGAAUUCCUGGUGUAGCGGUGAAAUGCGUAGAUAUCAGGAGGAACACCUGCGGUGUAGACGGCUUACUGGACCAUAACUGACGCUGGAGACGAAAGCGUGGGUAGCAAACAGG